rnacentral:snRNA from 1 species
GUGCUUGCUUCGGCAGCACAUAUACUAAAAAUUGGAAGGAUACAGAGAAGAUUAGCAUGACCCCUGUGUAAGGAUGACAUGCAAAUUCAUGAAGCAGUCCAUAAAAAA